GAAAAGUCUGAUGAACAUGCAAAUCUGACCAUUGAGUUCCUCAUGGGCUGUCUGAUUAUCGUCCUCAUUAUAAUCAUCAUCGCUCUGGUGCUUAAAAUCUGGAAACUUCAUACAGCACAUAAAGAGGCACUGGAUCCACAAGACAGUAAGAAUGUGGGCUCUGAUGACCUGAACUACGCAGGACUGAGUUUCCUUCCAAGAGCAGAGCAGAGCAGAAGGCCUGCUAGAGAGAGAGAGCCGGAGCCUAAUGUUCUCUACGCCAGCACCAUGCACUCAAGAAACCACCGGAACUGAAGCUUUGUUUAAGUCACGACCUCCGGGGGAUGUCCGGAGAAUGGGGACCGGACUUCCUGCAGUGUUUGCCUUUCAUACAUGAACAAAUCAGAAGGAGAUUUUCCGCUCAUAUUGUAUAUCAAGCAGUAUUGUUGUAAUCAUAAUCCACGAUCCACCACCACUAUCAUAUGCCACCAUCAUCCCUUUUUCAAUUCAAAUUAAAUGUAUUUACACCAUCACCCAGGUGGACGUCUGCAGUCUGGUGGAUCACUUGUUUUACAGGAAGCGACAGAACAGUCAAGGGUAAGGGUCAAAGAUUUGUCUGACUCUGACUAGUUCUCUUCUACAGAGAGGUUUGAGAGACACAUCAGUUGCUCCAUCACCCCAGCAUCCUCCUGUAGGCUCUGACGGGGGUUAUGAGUGUUUGUUCAUCACUUACAUCAUAUUUAUGUUAUCAUAUCUGGGGGAGUGAAUAAGUCGGAGCCUAUAGACACCAAACAAUGAC